rnacentral:rRNA from 1 species
CAGUCGCCGCGGUAAUACGAACCGUGCGAACGUUAUUCGGAAUCACUGGGCUUAAAGCGCGUGUAGGCGGGCCGCCACGUCGGCUGCUGAAAUCCCCCGGCUCAACCGGGGAACGGGCACCGAUACGAGCGGCCUCGAGGGGGGUAGGGGGGUCUGGAACUUCCGGUGGAGCGGUGAAAUGCGUUGAGAUCGGAAGGAACGCCCGUGGCGAAAGCGAGGCCCUGGACCCUUUCUGACGCUGAGACGCGAAAGCCAGGGGAGCGAACGGGAUUAGAUACCCCCGUAGUCCCUGUCUCUUAUA